UACGUACGAGGCAAGCGUUAUCCGGAAUUACUGGGCGUAAAGCGUGCGCAGACGGUUGCGUAAGUCAGAUGUGAAAGCCCCGGGCUCAACCUGGGAAUUGCAUUUGAGACUGCGUAGCUAGGGUGCGGAAGAGGGAAGCGGAAUUUCCGGUGUAGCGGUGAAAUGCGUAGAUAUCGGAAGGAACACCAGUGGCGAAAGCGGCUUCCUGGUCCAGCACCGACGUUCAGGCACGAAAGCGUGGGGAGCAAACAGG
rnacentral:rRNA from 1 species